GCAACUGAGGGAUAACUCAGUCAGUAGAGUAUGAGACUCUCAAUCUCAGGGUUGUGGAUUUGAGUCCCACACUGAACGAGAUCCCUGCA